rnacentral:rRNA from 1 species
CCUACGGGAGGCAGCAGUGAGGAAUUUUCUGCAAUGGGCGAAAGCCUGACAGAGCAAUACCGCGUGAGGGAUGAAGGCCUACGGGUUGUAAACCUCUUUUCUCAAGGAGGAAGAACUGACGUUACUUGAGGAAUAAGCAUCGGCUAACCCUGUGCCAGCAGCCGCGGUAAUACAGGGGAUGCAAGUGUUAUCCGGAAUUAUUGGGCGUAAAGCGUCUGCAGGUUGAUAUUUAAGUCUUUUGUUAAACCUCCAGGCUUAACCUGGAAUCUGCAAAGGAAACUAUUUAUCUUGAGUAUGGUAGAGGUAAAGGGAAUUUCCAGUGGAGCGGUGAAAUGCGUAGAUAUUGGAAAGAACACCGACAGCGAAGGCACUUUACUGGGCCAUUACUGACACUCAGAGACGAAAGCUAGGGGAGCAAACAGGAUUAGAUACCCUGGUAGUCCUAGCUGUAAACGAUGGAUACUAGAUGUUGUUUAUUUUAAAUAAGCAGUGUCGUAGCUAACGCGUUAAGUAUCCCGCCUGGGAAGUAUGCUCGCAAGAGUGAAACUGAAAGAAUUGACGNUUGAGAGUUGCGAGCGACGACGAGGGAGAGG